ensembl:lncRNA
GACCGAGAGAGAUCCUUUGCUGGUGGUGGAAAAGGUAACGCGACAGUAGCAGCCUUUUGUGGAGAAAUUCUGAGAUAUUGAGAGAUUCAAGGCUGUGAACCCUUGUGAGCUGGAAUUCCCCUUGCUGCGCGUGGUGCUUAGCAUGGUCGGGGUUUUUUUUUGGAUCGGAUUUGGAAAUCUUGAGAAGAACCAAGGAUCAACUUCCAGUGCUGGAUGGCGAGCGUCAGCCCAAAGAGUCGAACAAACUGGUAGCUUGUAACCCAACUGGUUACAAACACACAACUGUGAACACUGAACUUUGAACCAUUGACACUGAAAGACUGAAAGACUAAAACAAAAAAAACCACCAAAGACAAAAAGGACUAUUUUUAUUUCAUUUUGUUUAUCUUUUAUUCUAUUUUGAGACCGCUAUUUUUUUUUUUUGUUGUUGUUUAUUAUUGUGCACAAACCCCUUUGCAGUUUGAACUCUGCAAUUAAAUGCAAAUUGUCUUUU